AGGAGUAUAGCUUAGGGGUGGAGCACUUGCUUAGCAUGUGUGACUCCUGGGUUCAAUCCCCAGUACUACAG
rnacentral:tRNA from 1 species